AACUCUGGGUGACCUGACCACACCGGGUCUGUGUUCCCAAGUGCCGCCGGAAGCUGACUGCAGCUGCCCCCUGUAGCCAGGGCAUGUGUGGGGACUGCUCUGACAACUGUCCCCCACUCCCGCAGUGCCCAGUGCCCGACACCCUGGGGAGUCACUGCCACCCCGGAGGGGCCACCAAUUCAACAUGUGACAACCCGAAGUGGAGGGAAGCAGAGGAGGAAGAGACGGAGGGGGACACACAGAUGGAAACUGAGCCCAAGAACCAAGAGUGAGCCUGAGGACCACAGCGAGGGACAGCGGGAGAGGGAGGCAGCAGGCAGACGGAGGCGAGGAGCGAUUCCUUGGGCAUCUUAAGUCACUCUCUGGCCCCUGAGCAGCUGUCUCGUUUAGGGAAAAGGAUGCAGGGGUCCCCACAGGCGAGAGGCUGAACUCAGAGCUGGCCAGGUGAGAAGCGAAGCACCGAACCACUGAAAUCUCCAGGAGACCACACUGGGUGGCAGAUGUGACAGCAACCCUCUGACCUCACGGGGCGCUGCCGUCCCAGCACAACCAGAACAAGGUGUGCCGAUGCCGGGAGCAGUGCAAACGGCCCUGGACGGGGAUGCAGAGGGCUCCGGAUCAGCCUGGGGCUCGCUGUGGGGCCCUGCUGUCAUCCCUUGGAAAUGGGUACACCCCCGGCAUAUUGAGGGGGAGGCACGCAGAGGAACAAACGUGAUAAAUGCAUCCAUGGGCUGCAAAUCGGGGGCCGCUCGGACAGCUGUCCCCCACUCCUGCAGUGCUCGCUGCCUGGCACUGUGAGGAGUCACUGCCACCCCCGAGGGGCCACCAAUUCAACAUGUGACAGGCCGAAGUGGAGGGAAGCAGAGGAGAGAGGAAGACAUAGAGGGAAACUGAACCCAAGACCCAAAAGUGAGCCGGAGGACCACAGCGGGAGAGGGAGGCAGCAGGCAGACGGAAGCGAGGAGACAGGGCGCAGAGGGGCUGCGGGGGGUGCUGGGCACACCUGGCUGAGGAAGGGACCAAAGGCCCAGAGGGUCCCAUAGUCUCAGCCUAGUACCUGUCCCCAAGCCCAGGGGCCCUGAUCACAAGGCAGCAACGUCUAUCCCACAGCUGUGAUAGGUGGGGCACAUCACACCCCGAGGGGCCCCGGCAUCCAUGAUCUCCCCUCCUGGAGGGUGGUCAGCCGCCAUCCUGGCCCCGGACUCCUUGGAAAUGCUCCACAAAGUGCCAGCUGGAAAUGUCACAGCACAGGGGGCCUUGGGAUGAGCCAGCCCCAAGGGGCCAUUCUUUCCUGUGGGUUUGGGGAACUCUUUUAAGAUCUGGAGUGCAGAUUCGGGUUCCAGUGCCUGCUCUGUGUCUUCCUAGCCUUAGUUUCACCUCCUGGGGCCUCAAUUUCUCCAUCAGUAAAAUGGGGACAGUAACCGUCAUAGCACCAGCUCUCAGGCUUCUCAGGGGAGCAGACAGUGAAGCAGUGCACAGAAGUCCUUGGUAAUCCAAGAAGCACCCUCUGGACGGAGCUGCCAGGACAGCCCGCAGCCACCCUGGACUGACCCGUGGGGCUGGGGGCAGCUGGGGAGGCCAAGCGUGUGCACACGGGCACCAGCAGCAGAGCAGACCCCCAGUCUCCUCUCUCAUACCCGAGAUGGGAGAUGAAGACUCCCCUGUGAGUUCCAAACUCCUCCAACCAGUUCUGGCAGGGAAGAAAGGGAGUCCUGGGAAAGCAACUCCCAUGCCUGGGGCUCGGCGGUGACCCACCCAGCCCCUCCCCGGCAGAGGCACUGGUUGCCCUGGAAACUCACCUCGGUGGUGGCCGGUGCUGGCAGAGGUGCCAGCCAAGGUGUCGGGCUUUGGAGAGCGGCACGACGGGCGACGGCCCUUCUCCUGGCGGUCACCACAGAGACACAGGCAAAGAACACAGAGCCCUUCCUCCCCCUGGGCACGGCAGGCCUGGCACAAACCUGGCCUGCUUCCCGGGCCAUGGUGGGGCGAGAGCCAGGUGGGGAGUGGGCCCUGCGGGAGGCCCUCUGCCAGUGUGCUCGUCGCCUGCGUGCCCUAGUGGAGUGGAGCACCCGAGUGCCUGGGCCUGGUGUCACCCGCGUGGCUGUCAUACCUGCUGCUGUGACAGGCAGGACCAGGAAUUCCCGCUUGUACCAGGCCAUGGGCCAGCCGAGGACGAGUGGAGAGGCUGCCCCAAGCUAGCCUAGCUUUCUCCCUUAAUUCUCCAAGUCCCCACUCCCAUUCCCCCUGUGUCGGGGGCCUGGAAACCACCACACAGAGCCAGAAAGGUGACAGAUACAAGUAACCAAAUCAAAACAGGGUUCGGUCAGCAGAGCCACCAGGCGGAUGUGAGUCUAGCCAGAGGCACUGGGAGGCAGGCAGGAGACCCCACUCACUUGUUCUGGAAGGCUUCCCUGCCCCCUAGACCUGAGCUCUUCCAUCCCUGGCACCCAGGCACGAGAUUUCCUUUCUUCUUUUUUUUUUUUUUUUUUUCCCUGAGAUGGAAUCUCGCUCUGUCGCCCAGGCUGGAGUGCAGUGGUGCGACCUCGGCUCACUAUAACCUCUACCUCCCGGUUCAAGUGAUUCUCCUGCCUCAGCCUCCCAGGUAUCUGGGAUUACAGGCACAUGCCACCAUGCUCGGCUAAUUUUUUUUUGAGACAUCGUCUCACUCUGUCACCCAGGCUGGAGUGCAGUGGCAUGGUCUCGGCUCACUGCACCUCUGCCUCCCGGGUUCAAGCGAUUCUCCUGCCUCAGCCUCCUGGGUAGCUGGGACUACAGGCGCAUGCCACCACACCCAGCUAAUUUUUGUAUUUUUAGUAGAGAUGGGGCUUCACUACAUUGGCCAGGCUGGUCUCAAACUCCUGACCUCGUGAUAUGCCUGCCUCAGCCUCCCAAAGUGCUGGGAUUACAGGCAUGAGCCACCACACUCAGCCACUUGGCUAAUUUUUUUGUAUUUUUAUUAGAGAUGGGGUUUUGCCAUGUUGGCCAGGCUGGUUCGAACUCCUGACCUCAGGUGAUCCACCUGCCUUGGCCUCCCAAAGUGGUAAGAUUACAGGUGUGAGCCACCGCACCCGGCCACAAGAUUUCAUUUUAACUGGGCGCAGGGGUGGGGGAUGCCAAUGGUUUGUUUCAUUAAGUAGGGUGGUAAAAAAUAAUAAUAUUACCACCACUACUCCCACCAUUCAGAAAAAACACCACCAAAGGUAACAAGAAAGGGCUGCCAUCAGAAAGAAGGGCAGGCUUGAAAUGAGUACAUUUGGCUUUUAGAAUAAUUUACUAGAGUGACUACUGGAGUUGUAAACAACCACCACCACCACCACAACAAUACAACAACUUACUACCUUGUCCCUGUUUUUCUCAUUUUGCUGCAAACCAGACAUUGGAAGCCAUCAGACGCAUCCAACACACCCGUCUGACAAGUGGAAAGACUGAGCCCCAGAGAGAGCAGGGACUUGCCCAAGAUCUCACAGGAAAAGUGUCUGUCCAGCUGCUCUGCAAAGCUUGCAGACGCUCCUUCCAUCCUGACCUGGGGGCCAGAACACUCAGAGCCCCAACCCCAAAGCCCAGAGAUGCCAGGGCGAAGUCAGAGGCCAAGAGUCUCAGCUACUUCCUUACCUUCCUGGGAACCUGGCCGGGUGGAUGCCCA
rnacentral:lncRNA from 1 species